CCUACGGGUGGCAGCAGUGAGGAAUAUUGGUCAAUGGGCGUAAGUCUGAACCAGCCAAGUCGCGUGAAGGAUGACGGCUCUAUGGGUUGUAAACUUCUUUUAUAAGGGAAUAAAGCGUGGGACGUGUCCCAUUUUGCAUGUACCUUAUGAAUAAGGAUCGGCUAACUCCGUGCCAGCAGCCGCGGUAAUACGUAGGGGGCAAGCGUUAUCCGGAUUUAUUGGGUGUAAAGGGGGCGUAGACGGCUUUGUAAGUCAGGUGUGAAAGGUCGGGGCUCAACCCUGGAACUGCACUUGAUACUGGGAGUCUUGAGUGCAGUUGAGGUAGGCGGAAUUCGUGGUGUAGCGGUGAAAUGCGUAGAUAUCAUGAAGAACACCGAUGGCGAAGGCAGCCUACUAAACUGUAACUGACGUUGAGGCUCGAAAGCGUGGGGAGCAAACAGGAUUAGAUACCCGUGUAGUC
rnacentral:rRNA from 1 species